UACGGGGGAUGCAAGCGUUAUUCGGAAUCAUUGGGCGUAAAGGGCACGCAGGCGGUCUUGCAAGUCAGAUGUGAAAGCCCGGGGCUCAACCCCGGAAGUGCAUUUGAAACUACAAGACUUGAGUACGGUAGAGGAGAGGGGAAUUCCUGGUGUAGAGGUGAAAUUCGUAGAUAUCAGGAGGAACACCGGUGGCGAAGGCGCCUCUCUGGGCCGAAACUGACGCUGAGGUGCGAAGGCGUGGGUAGCGAACAGG
rnacentral:rRNA from 1 species